rnacentral:rRNA from 1 species
AUUGAACGCUGGCGGCAGGCCUAACACAUGCAAGUCGAGCGGAGCGGCGGACGGGUGAGUAAUGCCUAGGAAUCUGACUGGUAGUGGGGGAUAACGUCCGGCAACGGGCGCUAAUACCGCAUACUAUCAGAUGAGCCUAGGUCGGAUUAGCUAGUUGGUGGGGUAAAGGCCUACCAAGGCGACGAUCCGUAACUGGUCUGAGAGGAUGAUCAGUCACACGGGAACGGAGACACGGUCCAGACGCCUACGGUAGGCAGCAGUGGGGAAUGGUAGACAAUGGUCGAAAGCCUGAUACAGCCAUGCCGGGUGUGUGAAGAAGGUCUUAGGAUUGUAAAGCCCUUUAAGUUGGGAGGCGGUACCAACAGAAUAAGCACCGGCUAACUUCGUGCCAGCCGCCGCGGUAAUUC